GAUGAACGCUGGCGGCGUGCCUAAUACAUGCAAGUCGAGCGAAUGGAUUAAGAGCUUGCUCUUAUGAAGUUAGCGGCGGACGGGUGAGUAACACGUGGGUAACCUGCCCAUAAGACUGGGAUAACUCCGGGAAACCGGGGCUAAUACCGGAUCACAUUUUGAACCGCAUGGUUCGAAAUCGAAAGGCGGCUUCGGCUGUCACUUAUGGAUGGAACCGCGUCGCAUUAGCUAGUUGGUGAGGUAACGGCUCACCAAGGCAACGAUGCGUAGCCGACCUGAGAGGGUGAUCGGCCACACUGGGACUGAGACACGGCCCAGACUCCUACGGGAGGCAGCAGUAGGGAAUCUUCCGCAAUGGACGAAAGUCUGACGGAGCAACGCCGCGUGAGUGAUGAAGGCUUUCGGGUCGUAAAACUCUGUUGUUAGGGAAGAACAAGUGCUAGUUGAAUAAGCUGGCACCUUGACGGUACCUAACCAGAAAGCCACGGCUAACUACGUGCCAGCCGCCGCGGUAA
rnacentral:rRNA from 1 species